GUCAGUCGUGGCGGAGGCGAACGGCGCCGGGCUGAGAGGUUCUGUGGAGGGAAGAGCUGUGUGUGUGCUGAGCGGCCGUGUGAAAACGCCCAUCGUGAAGGAUGCUUGGGAGACAGGUGCUGCCCGAGCUCAGGGCAAUAUUAAUCCCCUAUGAAUAAAAAGGAAUCGAAUACAAAGAAAAGGAAAUAACAGAUCAGGCCGCUUUGUGCAGAGGAGGUCUGUUCCUCCUUCAGAAAAGAGCAGUUCUGAGGACACGGUUCCCCUUGUCGCACACCCUGGGUACCGCAGUGCUCGUGAGGUGUCUGUCACAAAUCCGUCUUCUGCAUCAACUGCCACCCAACCGAAGGGAGAAGGAAGUCGGGCCUCGUGGCCCCCUCAUUUAAGGCUUAGAGUACAUAACGUGAGCCUAGAGAAACCCACAGAUCAGAAACCCAUAAAUUCAGAACUUCCAAAUCACUAUACAAGCGAUAAGUGGGCUGAGUGACUGAACUUUGCCUCCUUCACAAAUUCGGCAGAGCAAAGAUAGCAUUUGCUAAUAUUCUUCACCUUACUGCUGCAUAAAUAGAUGAUACUGCCAAGCUUUGCAGCAUGCGCUCAUAAAAAGAGGAAACAGAAGGUGCUAUGGUGUUUGUUAAGGACUUGCCCUUAACGUUUUCCAAGGGUCAUUAACUUCGAUGGGUCAGAGUCCAAGCUGAAUUUUCUUCUGGGGCUCAAAACCUCGUGGAAUAAAAAAGACUGGUGAGAAUCCAUCCUUGCAGGCUGUUGCUGGUGGAAUUAUGAAUUGUAUCAGAGGCAGUCGCUAGGUUUUUUCACUGGUAGGGAAGAGCCAGAAAGGACAGGCUGUCAGAAGGAGGCAGCGGGGUUUCUCUGCAAGGGCUCAAUCAGUAAGGUAAUCUUGGCAUUUUUAUUUAAAAAUAAAUUUGUCUGGCGAUGUUUUCUUUGGAUUUGUUUGAUUCAUUUUUUCCUAUCAUAGCAGAACCUCUCAAAUGUUGCUGAAAGCAGGAGUUGAAAUGGACUGUACUGUGAAACAGCAAAACACUUCCCUCAAUGCUGUAAUUCUGCCCUUGCACGUUCAUUAACAACAUUUGGUACCAGUAAUUAAGCACUUUGUCUCUCAGAAGAUCUACACUUAACACACAGGAGUGAAAAUGUAAACAAAGGCAUAUUGUUGUGGCUCCUCUCCCACUCAGCCAUGAGCCUCGUGGGCCAGUUAAUCCAGUUUUAUGGCCAGGUUAUACCAGCACUGCAGCACACAGUGGCUGCACCGUGACAGAUAAAGAUACAGAGAAAAGGCCGGGGCUAGAUUAAGGCUCUGCACAGCUCUAAUCCUGCCUACGCUGAAUAUUCUCUUCCAUAUCUUCUCAUCUUACCCGCAGACUCUACUCAGUCCCACACACUGCUUCCCAGUCACCUGCAGAAGCUGCUUCUCUUCAGGGAGCAUAUGCUCCAUUUCCACACCUGGCUUAGUCCUUGCUCUCACGCAGCCUCUGCAUGCUUCACCCACAGCCGCAGAAGAAAUGCUGUCUGAAAAUAAAUAGUUACUGUUUUGUCUGCUUGCUGCUGACCUGCUCUGUGUUUUCUGAUCGACUGGCUGUAAGGAAAACUUCAUUUGGCCACAUAUCUGCUCUCCCUCUCUCUUUAAAGAUUGCCCUGGGUCUCCACAUCCUCUUCCCCAGUUUGGUUUGAAUGCAUCUCAAUCUCUUGCCUUCCCCAAGGUGUCGUACAUCCCUGUGGCUAUGUACCCAGGAAAGCUGGCCAAAUCACUUCUGAUGAAUAAUUGAUCGGGUAAAUUUUGCCUCUAUUUCAGUUGUGAGUUGUCUGCAAACAGACUGUGAUUUCUGCAAACUUAUUAUUUGAUGUUAUUUGCCACAUAAUGCCCAGCCAGCUCCGUAUUCAUGAGCAACUUGCUGGAAAUAUUUGAAAUUUGAGAUAAUUGGACACCGGGAUGAUAUGAAGCUUAGUCCUACAAGCAGCUGAGCUCUCCAGAUUCAUUUCACAAAAAGACUGAGGUGCAAUGCUUGCAGUUGUUUGGCUGCAGCCAGCAAGGCUGCAGUUACAAGCGUGCUUACAUGCUUUGCUGAGGCGGGGCUCAAAGCAUUGAGCAUCUUGUGGGACACCCUGUUUCUGUUGUCUGACCGCGCUCGUCUGUUUCAUAAAAUUGUUUCCUUCAGGGAUUUUGCUUUAGAAAUGCUUUCUCGCAGUGAAAAACAAUACCACAUUCAAAAUUAACACACCUGCAAAGGAAAGAAAUAGUAUUUCAGGAUCUUUUAAAGCUCUGCAAUAAAUCUCUGUCAUUCCGAUUUUGAUUCAGAUAUCUCCUAAUUCACAGCCCCACUAGGCCAUAUUGCCUCCUCAAUUUCAGAUGUUGUGCCAGAAUUAAUUCAGUGCUGUUGCAGAGACAAAUAUAUAUAUAUAUUAAAAAAAUCAGGUCUGGAGGCAGGGCACAAAAGAGUGACAGUUUAAGGUGGGGAGGCAGGGACAAAAGAAUCCCAGUAUUUAAGGGACUGGGAAGGAAGGAGCCUUUUCACCGCACAACUGCAGUGCAUAGAGAAAUUAAGAACAAACUUAUCUGCUCCUCUCCAGCUCCAGCUCCACUGCACCACUCAGAUCCGAAUCCCUGACGCUGCAUUUCUCACACAAUGUCUCUUCUCUCCAUCAUUUUUUCUUCACAUCAGAUUUCUCUCCUUUCCAGGGAGGUCCUGUUUCUGGACUGAUGUUUGCUUCACCUUUCUUUUCUGUUUCCAUAUUCCUCCUUUAUACUGCAUCAGAGACUUCUUCCUCAGAACAGCCUGUUUUGCCCCAUAGGUUUUCAAGCAUAACUCCCCAGAACCUCUCCAUUCCUUUCGCUUUCAGACUGCUCAGAUUGUGUCACCUUUAGUCCAACUUGUCUGUAUGGCUCUGCUUACUGCUUUUCGUAUGUAAUACACUUUUGUACAAAGAGACCAACAGCCUCUCUGCUGCAGUCUCCGUUAUAGAGGUUACAGUCUCAUUUUUAACUCGAUGCAGAGAUGAACAUCAAAAGACAGCCCAUGUCUCAAAAAGCUCGCAAUUUGGAGAGAUGGCAGGCAAAGAAUGAGGGAAAAUAGGAUUAGCAGCUCCUUGAUCGGGGAGAAUGCAAGGGUCAUGCACAGUUCCUACAGUGUCACAAUGGAGAUGCUAGGACCUCAGCUAGUGUGGGGGUAAACUGGGGCUGUGCAAUCCACUCCUUUCAACACACUGCUGUUUCACCUUUCUCCCUGAUGUUGCUCCCCAUCCUGAUCCUCGGCAUGAAGGGGACAGCCCACACUCGCACACUGGUGCUCCUUCCAGUGCUCUGCCCACUCCUUCCCACACACCUUGUAAGUGGUGAGCACCAAGAGCAGAAGGAGAGCAGAUUGCCCAUUGCACAUACAGGCUCCUGUUUUCCACUACACACUCCUCUGGCUUCCUUCAAGCAAGCUGCUUUCCGGCUCUGGUUCUGUCCCUUUCUUGUUGCCUUUGGACUGGGGAAAGGAUGACCCCAAACCUCUUAUUUCUGAGUGUCGUGGCUGGCCUUGUGGAUCUCCCAGCUAAUGAGAGGGAAGUUGUGCCAUCUUACAAGGCUCUGCUCCUCCCAGCUGCUCGCUAACUGCUUUUUUGGACAUGGAGCACAAUUGAAACAUGAUUUUCAUUUUCAUAUUUGUAAAAAAACGGUAAUUCAGAACCUUCACAUAUCCUCAGGAAAGGGAGAGGUGAUCACUAGGAGAACACUUAUCUUUUCAGGUGGGUUUUUCAGUCUGUUUAGCACCCUCUGCCACUUCGGCUACACUUCGUUUCUCUAGAUUAAUCUUUUAUAUACAUUUCAAUGGUUUUCAUCAAUGCAGCCUUUAAGCGCCUUCCAAUUUUAAUAAGUUACAUCUAACCAAUGACCACUUAGGUGGUUCAGGAAGUUAUUGCCAUGCCUUCUUAGCAAUGGCAAAUCAAGGCAGAGAAACUCAGUAAUACAUCCUCAGUUAUUUAUGCAGCAGGUAGGUAAAACAGGCAAACUAUGCCCUGAGCCAAGGACCAUGCUAAGCUCGCAGAGAUCCACAGCCUGACCCUCCUUCUGCAGAGGGACCACAAUGGGCUCCUGAAGCUUGAUUCAGAGCUCCUGAGAGUGGGAUUUGCCAUUGCCUGAUCCAAGUAGCUGUUCAAGACUGCCACGGUGAGUUUCUCUUCCCCUUUUACUACAAAGGAACACUGAAAAUAUGCACUGUUAGCAUUUUGGGGAUUGUUAGCUAACACUGGGGAAGCGCUCACAUAUUAGAGAGAGCGAGGCUGCAGUCUGGCAGACCCCAUCCAGAUGGACAAACCAUGUUUUGCACCUGUAAGAAAAUGAGGGCCACGUUGUUUCAGCCAGCCUCAUAGUGCACUGUCUGCUGUAGACCUCAGGAGUGCUCUGGGGAUGCUUUUACACGAGGAACCAAAUUGGUUUUGACCUCAGUGAAGAGGGGGCCAAGAGGGACGCAUCUGACACCUUUUAGCAACCACAAGGUUUUCUGUCAAGUAGACACAGCCCGCGAGACAAACUCACAGCUGGAGUUGGGGUGCUUUUGAAAACAUUGUCUUUAUUCUCUACCUCCCUUUCUUCCAGGACAGGCGCUUUGCUUAUUCCCUCUUCAGAAAGGACUUUUCUGGCACACAGCCUAGCCUGGCUGGAGAUUAGGGAUUCUCUCUGCCCCUUCAUCCUUGAAUAUUUCCUUUUAAUUUCACAGUUUAAAUUCCAAUUGUGUAAUUACAUUCUGCCUACCCUGAAUUCCUCUGUAAUUUCAAUUGGACACGGUGUCCUUCACUCUCUAGUUUGAACUCUCACAGUGCUGUGGGGCACUGUUAAGAGGCUGCCACGCUCCACUCUGGUCCCAUUUCAUGUAUAUGGAGAAAGAGAAUGGGCCUAGAUCCCUUUGAACUGAAACUGCUGCUCCGUAUAGAGGAGACAGGGGUUGCUGUAGAGUGACAAGGCAGUCUUGCCCCACGGCAAUACAUUGGGCGUUUCUUACAAUGCCUCGGCCUGAACGAAUUUUUGGAGUAAAAGCCUGUCUGGAGGUAUUUCUCCCCCACAGUACAUACCCUUUAAUCUCAAGUAAAGCUGUACGGAGACCCCCAAACCACUACUUUGCUGAAUUUAUGUGGCUUGAGAGUACCUGCUUGCACCAUUUAACAUGGCAGAAAUGCCAUAGUGAUUUAAUUUAGGUCUAGGGAGUUGUGUAGCAAUACAAGGGCAGGUAGCACAGAUGCCUAGUUCAGUAAAAUGCUUUCCAAAAACGAGCAAAUCCCAAGCAUUUUAUGACCCAACCCCAGUAUUUCCUGCUGAUGUUGUCCUGCCAGCAUUUUCCCUCAAUCCCUGCCCUGGUAACAGUCACUGGAGUCCCACAUCCCGAUUUGUUUCCUUGUGACAUCUUACAUCUCCAAAUAUUUCCACUUCUCCUGCCACUUUUCCUGUGGCACAGCUACUCACCGUGUCAGUGUGCCUGCAUGCUGCCCCUCAGGUGUCAGAGAUUCACCUUCCACAUUUCCACCAUCUUCUGCUGUGUUGUUGUGUGGAAACUUCUGGGGGACAGGGAGAAGAGGAGGCAGCAAGUGUCAGUGAGAUAGUCUUCCUCAGUCUUCUCUGUUUUGGAACAAACUUCUUCUCCUUGCAUGAGUUCUGUGUCACACUCAUGAUAAAGAGCUGCUCACCUGCUUUAAAAUGUUUAUAUGCAAUUCAGCAAACCGGGUUUACUACAGAAACAGGAAUUAUUUCACGUGUAAUCAACCUCUCACUGCAUUCUUUUCACCAUGUUUAUGCCACUUUCAGAAGCACGUGGGGGUGAUACCGUCAUUAGCAAUAGUCCUUCACCAGAGCUCAUUUCCCUCCCUGGAAAAGCAUUCUGGAUAGUCCCAUCACUGCACAAAAAAGCAUCAAGCUUCUUGCUAGUGGUACUAUACCUACAUGGAGACUCUGUCGCUCUGGCUUUUGAUGGGACUUUGGCUUUCUAUAUACUGCACAACUGGUCCUGCUCCCGAGGGAAGCCUUUAUGCUUAGUCCCAUGGUGGCAGACCUGAGGCUGCUGUUCGUGUCUCUAUCUGCAAACAGCAGAUAGAUCAGAUGAGAUCAAGUAGACCAUAUUUCCAUGUUUCCUUGGUUAGCUUAUACUGUUAAAAGUGAGUUGUUGUUAGGAGGAAACAGAGCAUGUAAUAACUAGAGUUGGGUUUUGUUUGGCUUUGAGUCAUAAAUCUGAAAGGAAAGGAAAGGAAAGAGCCAUCACGUUCAUCCCCAAGUUUGUCAUACAAUCAGCAAGGGGCAAGGCAGUAGUAUGGGCAAGAAAAUGAAACAUGUGAAGGUACAAGUGCCAGCGGGGGGAAGUCACUGUUGCUUAUUGUCAGUUUUGGUGUGACACAGAAAGUUCAGCUAAUCCUCUUAGUUACAGAGACACACGGGUGGGGGGAGAUUGUUAUCUCAAGCAAUUUGCUGGCUCUACUCCUUUUUUCCUUCGAGUUUCUUUUCGCCUAAUUGAACAGCAUUUCUUCCUGGGACUGGUUUGCAAUAAUCCUGGGGCCUCAUCAGGGAGAGCACUAAAAAAAACAGGGAAAGGAGAAGCAGCCUGAGCAAGGCAGCCACCACCACAAGCUUCUCUCUUCAGAGAGGUAUCAGAUUUGAUUCCAAGAGGUGAGGGUUAGAAAUAAAAUAACAAUUCAAAGUGGUAAUGAGCACAUGUGCCACAGUGAUCGCUCAGAAAGGUGUGUCUGGGAUGGGUCAUUAACAGCUGCCCAGACACUGGGGAACUGGGGGUUCUGAGGUAGAGCAAGGCAAAGGCUGCACUGGCGCCCAUCAGAAACACAUGGAUUCCACUUGCAUUGCCAAAGGGAAGUGAGCGUGGUAAAUCUAAUCGACAGUCAAAAGGUGAAGCAGAAAAUAAUAACAAGGGAGGUUUGUUUUUAUUUAUUGAAGAGAUAAGGAUUCAACUACAGGCGUUGAAAGAGAAAAGCCACCUUGUUCUGAGGAGUCAAUUAUUCCACCCACUCUUGCUCAUCAUCAAGGUUUUAGUACUAUAUUACUAAGGGUAUUUAAAAAUUUCUGAGCCUCAGGGUUGGUAAUGUUUGUGCAAGUACUCUGCCAGUUGCCACAGGUGUCAUUUUACAAAAGAUCUGGAUAAUUACAUGGUAUCUUCCUGAAGAUGGCAGCAGCCAGGGGCGGUUCUUCAGCAGAUGCGGUUCCUGAUCCUGGAGCAGGGUGGGUGUUACCAGCAGGUGACCACGUUUGGAAAGCAUUCCAUGUGCAGACAGAGCCGAAGCCCCCUAUCAUUUCCUGAAGGCUCGAGACUGCUUCCAGCACUGUGAUACUGCAUCCCAGGGAAGUGAGGCUCUGGUUCCCAAGCCUUCAUGAUUCACCCUGGAGAAGCUGAAGUUAUUAAGGUGAGAGGUAGUCAACCCAAAGAAGAGCUGGCUUGGCAAACAACUUGUUCACUGCUAACUGUAUCAGCUCAUAGCCUAAUGCACCGAUACCAAUUUACUCCAGUAUCCUGAACUGAGAAUGGCAGAAAUUAGUGACUCAAGCGAGGAUCGUAUCAAUGCAUUUCACUGUGGUCGUUAAAGAAUUCAUUGCCCCCCAAGUUGAGGAGAUGGAGUACCUUUUCAGUUAGGGCAGCUAAAUCCAACAGAGACUAAGUCAGAACAGUCAGACAAGAGAGAAGGGGCCAUAGCAGAUAGCACUAACAAAGCAAUUGUAAAAUAAGUAGUAUAGCGCUUCUAAGAGAAAAAAUAUUCCUCCGAUGUCAUACCAGCAUGGGUCAAGGAAAUGGCAAGUUUGAUACAUGCUUCACACCUGGACCUCCUUUUUGAUUGAGUGUGCAUUCUCCAGUCUUGCUCUAGCUCUGGCUGAUCUGUGGCCUUGGACCGCCUCUGGGCUCGCACAUUGGAGGGGUACCUGGUUCCUGUGACACACACACACAGUGCCUGAGCACUGCUUUCCAGACAAAGGAAACCUUGGAGUGGAUCAAACAGGAGUCAUGAUGCAUCACACCAGGGUUUUGACUCAUAUGCUUGGAGGAUGAGGGCCAGCUGCUUGUUUUUCUACCAUCAUGUCACUUUGGACAGAGCUUCUGAGACUCUGCCGGACACCUGCAUAAUGUCAAUGACUAUGUUUCUUUAUUUCAAGUAGAUAUUUUCACAGAGAUAUACUGUGGGAGUAAAUGCAUUUAGCAGUGUAAUUACCAGACACUGCAGAGGUGAGGCCAUGUUCAGCAGUUUUUGUUCAGUUCUUUUAUUUUUUUAAAGGUAUUGUUUGCUUAUACAGACCUUUAAAAUUUAUGAUUAUAUUGUGCAGAGGGACGGAGACAGAAAGACAGGGGCUUGCAUCUCUGCUACGUGUGACCAGUGUGAAGCAGCCCUUGGAUCAUGAGCGAGACAGGGAACACUGCGCUAUGACCUCUCUGGGCGGCUGCAGUGCUUCACAGAGCGCAAGGAGGGGCAAGGGAAGGGCAGAAAUUGCUGCAUUCAAGGACCAAUCUCUUCCUCAUGCAGGUCUACACAGCCAGCUAGUUGCAUGCAGGACUACACCGUGCUCUUUAACCCUAUCAGUGAGCAUUUCGUUUUCUAACACUGAAAAUGCUUGGACAAGUCAUACGUAUUUUAGCCACAUGGAUACGCUUUCUGAAUCCUGCUCUGUAGUAACAGACUGCAGUUCUGACACCGAUAUAGCAUUCACAGCUGUAGAGAGUGCAAAGCAUUUAUAAAUGUAAAAAAUAUACGCAUAGUGACUUCAAAAAAAGUGUUUAAUGAACACUAAUAAAUAUUAUAUGUUUCAAAUAUGUUAGAUUUAUGUUAAUCAUAAAAUGAACGUCUAAAGCCACUAGAAGAAAGAGACAGCAUUGCCAGGUGAAUAUCAUGAAUGAAAAAACAUUAACCACUGUGAACAAGACCAUCAUAUUUCCCAGUGGCAGCUCCCUGUCUUCCUCUAAUUCCCCCCUCCCUUUCCUCUCCCUCCUCAGACACAUACGCAUACACUAUGGGAGGAAUGACAGCUGUUCUUCAUGGAAUGACAGCCCAGGGAUAUUGCAUCCUCCCUUAAAAAAAAACAGGCAAGGUACAGAAUAAGGUCAGUGAAGGGAGACAAAGGGGUCUCCCAGAGAUGGCAAAGGGUAAUUUAUUGACAGAUGAGAUAGACAUUACUACAGAAAAAUAUUAAAUGGAUUCUUUUCUUCUUUUCCCCCAUCUUUGGAAAGAAAAAAAAAAAAUAAGUGGGAAGGGUUAGGAAGGACAGAUGCCAGAAAUAGAGAGAAAUUUCCCAGGAGGGGAAGGAGAAAUCCUGAAGGAAAUUAGGAUCGCAGCACAGAAAAAAAGGAAGCUGGAAAAAAAAAAAAAAAUAAAAGGACAUCUGAAGAGUAAGAAAUUCUGUAUGGAAACAACAAAAAAGGGCAGUGGAGAAGGAACACCACCACUAACAGCAGCACUGCUUCAAAAGCACUGUGAGAGAAGGAAGUGCUGGUAAAACAGAGCCUGAUUAAAAGCCAGUGUUUGAAAAGGGCUGUCGGGAAAUUGAAGAGCUGUGCACGCAGCCGACGUCAGCAGUGAGGAAGACUGCAGGAGCGCUAAUCAAAGUGAGGCUGAGGGAGCAUAUGGAGCACGGAGAUUUUAUUAAGGACAGUUGAGAACCAGGGUUCAUAUAAUGGGAGCAGCCAAGCUCAGGAGAUGGGAGGGAAGAAAAGGCCAGGUCUUCUGGUGCAAUAAACCGCCGUAGCACUGUCAACUUUGACAGUAUGCGAGUUUCCGCUGCAAGGAAAUGACCUGAGUGAAAGGCUUAAACAGUGGAUGUUAUUAACGUAGCUGUUCUGGCCUAGAGUAAUAGGUUUCCCUAAAUAAUUGUGCAGGAGAGGGCGGGAAAAAAUGCUGUGCAGGUGCGCUCUAGGCGGGGUUCUGUGAGUCCCUGCUGCCUUCAGCCAAGAUUGCAAGAUACCGACAGCAAGAUACUGAGGAUCUGAUUCUUAGAGCCUCUGACGUGAGCAGAGUUCGUGAUUUCCACCAGUCAGGGCCAGAUUAACACCAGAGGAGCAACCAAGGAAAGGUUUCACAGAGGGGAAAGCAACAGAAUAAAAUAAAUAUGUUGGAGGACAGACCUAAUUUACAAUCAAAAGCAGGGUUAGGUUUAAGCCAAACACCGUCUUAUCCUGAUCUUCUUGCAGGGAAUGUGUUUUUUAUGGUAUGUAACUCAGCCUGAGUGGUAGAUUAAGGGAGCAGAGAGAGCCUUUUUGUGUCCGCUGCAGCGUGCCACAUCUUUCUCAUCCUGUUCCUGCUGCACACCUUUUGGCAAAACACUUCUCUCACAGCAGGUCCUUGUCCUCAGAGCCCUCCCAUUCCAGCACCAUGACAUUACAAGACAAUCUCUCAUUAGGCCUAACCUCAGCAGAGACACAAAGAAGCACACGGUUCUGUCAGCCUACUACUUUCCAAACUUAAAGGUUGAAAAGUGGCAGAUUUAAUGCUAGAGUCUAAUUAUGAGCUGUGACUGCCACGCUUAUGGCUGAGGGCUGACUUUGGGCCCAUUUAUGGCCCAUCUACAUUGAGCUUUGGAACUCCAAAGGAUCAGGAGACUUUUAAAUCUCAGCAGAGAAGGACAAAGCAAAAAGAAAGGCUGAAUCUGUGCUAUGUUGUGCUGUUAAAAGCUAAGGAAAUGCUAAAUGUUAAAGAAGACCUGUGCUCAGCAGGUGAUUCUAGCCAAAUUGCUGCCAUGCUCUGGCAGCAAGCAAUCUGCCGUGCAGAGCCAGAGCCAUCUGACUGUUUGGGAAUCAUUUCACAAACAGAAAAACACAUGUAAAGGUGCCAGUUUUGCUAGGAAUGGAUGCCCCAUCCAGGGGACAGCCUGCACUUGGAUCUGAAAAUACCUGCAACACCAUAGCAUGACCCGGAGCCAAAAGAUAAUCCAGGCACCAAAUCAACGAGGUAACCCAAUGUACCCCACACCCACAUCACUGUGACGUGAUGUCAGAAAUGUGAUGUCACUGUGCUGCUGAGAGGCUGGAGAAUGCAAGCAGAGGGGAUGUCACCACUGCUUCUGGCAGCAGCCUGCAGUCAUCCCAAUUAAGUAGUAUACAUGAAGCUGCAACAAAGCAUUUUUUUCCAGCCUGUUCCCAGAGCCCUGAGCUUUACGUUAGGUUCUGACACCAACUCAAGACACAGCAUGUGAGUGCCCUUUUUCCCCUUGGUAUUCAGGCAUCUCAGAAGAUGGGAGAUGACGCUUUAACUUUCCAGGAGAAGAGCUAAGGAAUGUCCAGGUGUCAUGCAAGGAUUAUCUCUUUUCCAAGACAUUCAUGACUGAAGAAGAAACAAGGAGAAAGGUGACUGGGAAGAAUAAUAGGCAAGUUAGCCUCCAUUUCUAUGCACUUGAAGUAGCUGCAUUGCUGUCACCGUAGCAAAAGUGGAGUUAUAAAGGGGACUCAGUUGUGGACAGAGGGGAGAGAGUGCAGACAGUGUGAGGGGUUAUUUUAUUGUAUGUGGCUGUCAUCAGACCAAGCUGUGGACACAUGUAUGAGAUCAAGACAGUGAAAUAUUAUUCCUAUCACCCCAUCCAUACAAGGCAGUGGCACUGUGUUACAAGUUUAGAAGAAACGAGUCGUUUGAACUUGUAAAUGGCAGCUUAAAAGGGUAAUUGCUCUGUUGUGCUACAGACUGUAAGUAAAAGCCUCACCUGGGUAUCUACUCAUCAGAGAAAAUCUAGCAUGAGAAUUGGCUGGCACUAAACUGCUGCAUUUCUGGGAUCUUGUGUAUCCAGUGUGGGGGAGAUCUGUUAGCCAGCACUGAGAAAGCCUGGGCAUGGAUCACUUCAGGAAGCAGAAGAUGCAAAGCUCUGCCAGAGGUCUGCUGUUGGAAUUAUCCCAGCUGCCUCUCCAAUGAGCCGAUAGGAAAAAUAAUAUUACUCCCCACUGUUAAGGAUGCAUAUAGAAAAAAAAAAAACAGCUUAUAAGCUGAUCCACAGGAUUUAGAAAAGGAGAUACUUUCCAAGAGAGAGCUUUGUUUUCUGUUGUUUACAGUACAAUCUCAUAAGGGUGAUUCCUUUUUUGUUGUGAAGAAGAAAUAAGCUUGAAUGAGGUUCCACGUUGGUUUAGAUUAACUUAUUUAUAAUUCUAUUUUUUAUUUUAUUUUAUUUUAUCGGUUGGAGACCCUAGCCUAUCAGAUAAGAUCUUUGUUCUGCCUGGAAUAUAUGAGCAGCCAUCCCUGUUCAUACGACAGGGAUGAGGUUCUACAUACAGAGGAACACCUGGCUUUGGGUUCCCAAGUCAGGCAGAAAUAGAAGAAUAACCUGUUUUUAAUUCCUGUUUAAUGUCUAGUAGCUCCUGGUUACUCCAAUACUUCUUUCCAGAAAUGAGUAAUGAACUGAAGUGUAAGGAAAAGUUCCCUCAGGAUGAAACAGAAUAGUUUUCUCAAGACUACUCUAAUGCUUCUACAGCUGUAAAAAAUACAUAUUUUUAUACACAAACACAUGCAUAUAUAAGGGGAAGCAUUGUUGAACACUAGCUUCAACCAAGAGCUGAAUUUCCUAGUACGCUCCAGGCUGAAAUUUCUGAAAAGCCCAAAUGCUCACUUGCAAGCUAUCUGCACAGCCCAGGUCAGCAGGCAGCAAUUAGCUUCUCAGCCACUCACUCUUCUUUCCAUCUUCCUGAUGGAUAUUUCAUCUGAGUUUAUGCUCCCCUCCCUCGCCUUCUCUUCACCUCUCCGUCUCUCUUUCCAGUAAGGCUAUGAUCUGUCACAGCCUCUCAAUGGACAAGACCUAUACAUCCCAUCACAACACUGUCAUAGGCAGCUGCAUUAGACAGGCCAGGAUGAAAAGCAGUUUGGAAGGGAGAGAAGCCGUCAUGCUUCAGGGAAGAAACUUGAACUCAAGCCAAGGCAGAAAGAUGAAGGAGGACUUUGGGCCAGACAGGGAGAAAAAUUCGACUCAGGGCAGGUUAUCCCAUAAUUGCCCACUUAGGCUUUCUUUAGACCUUCUAAGAUGCAUCUUCUUCUGGCCAACAUCAGAGAGAAAAGGGGUGGAUCACUGGCCUGAUCUAGCAGGGGGAUGAGCUUCUUCAUUCUUUCUGCCAGUGUGCUGGGUUUAUAACAUUUUCUGAAACCACAAUGAGAUCCCUUUUCCAAGCAUGACCCUUGCUCUGCCAGUGAUAGCCAAAAUUCCUUCCCCUCUCCCCGUCCUUCACACUUCCACAGGCAAUACAGAGAGAAGCCAGUACAAAGCCAGGUCAAGAUGAUAAGAACAAAGCCUUGAAGACUGCUCUUAGAUACCAGCUUUACUUCAGCUGAAGGGGGAAUUUUCAAAGAGGUGAACUCUUUCUGUCUCUCUCUCAGGCAGGAGUCUCCUGGGAGGAGAAGAAAACAGCUUUCAUUUUAGCGAGUCAUGAUAUUUAUGGCCCUUUUAUGAGUUUUGUUUGAAAAUAUAAAAGUGGACGGACUCAAAUCUGUUUCAAAAGAGAGGAGAUGGGAAGGGGAGAGACAGAGCAUAUGAAGGGCAGGUGGGUCUGAAUCAUCUGCCCACAUUCAAAAGAAAAUCAAAUACCUUCUUUGUUUUAAUAUGGACCCCUUCUGUCGGUCAUGAGGAUAAUGUCUGACCUUUCCUUGCAUAGGCCCUUUUAUCCCUAAUGACUUACAAAUUUGAUAUGUCUACUACCACCAAGAACACUCACUUUGGGAUGAAUCGAGACAACUAUUCAAUUAUGCAACUGCAGCACCAUGCAACGGGUCAGUUCUGAUUGCUCCCAAGAAGCAGACUUUCAGAUCUCGUCUCCUGCAGAAGUGAAAGCUUUAUACUGCAUUCCUGAGGGGCGACUGUCAGCUUCUGCUUGCUCACAUACCUGAGUUUCAUGUGGGCUUUCAUCCAUCCUAUUUUGGUGUCUGUUCAGCAACUGAGGUUGCACCCUCUUGAGGGCCUCCUGCUUUUCAUAUGUGGAAUCUCCUCUGACCCUUUGCCUCCAGGCAGUACUUCUGAUUCAAUUCACAGAAUAAGCAGCACAUGCCUUGCAAAAUUAUCGAGGGAGGGAAGGUUAAGUUGAAGAACUGGAUUUUGCAUUUAAUUUUGGAGGUACUUAGGCCUGUGGUCAUUUUACCUGCCCUGUGCAUGAACCUUCAUAGGUUAUGGCAGUGACUGAGAAAUUUCUAUGGGCAUGAUGUAUAAAGCUUCCCAUUAAUUGGCAGUUUCAUAAAGGAUAUUGUGGUAUCAUAAAGCUCUCCUCUCCAACAAGGAGCCAGAGAUGAUCUACCAGAUCAGCAAAAGGCCUUGGACCAGAUCUGCAUUCAAUACAGUCAUUACAAAGAUCAGAUUGCUAAGAUGAUCCAUGAAGAUGUGUGAAGUCAUAUGAUCUUAAACAUCAACUGAUGUGUGCUAUAUCUUUCUUUAAUACUGUGUCCUGCAAUAAUCAAAUGUAGAGAUCAGAAACAGCUUGGCCUUUGAAAUUAGAUAUGUCUCUGGCAGUAUGUGACCUGAAGCAUACAGCUAUCUGGUCAAUUGUAAACAGUUAUCAUCACAAUAGUCGUUUUCUAAUGUCACUCAGAAAACCAAAAAGACUAUAGGACCAUAGCUUUGGCUAACAGAUGCCGCUGGUAGUCGGGUGAUGCCAUAAAAAUGAUCAGUUCCUUUAAAGAUUUGUGUCUUCUACCUAACAUCUCCUAUGUCUUGGUUCAAUUUUAUGCCUAUGUACAUGCCCUUCUGAAUGGAUUUGUUCUUCCUUCCGUGGCUGCUUGUUCAGAGUCCUUGGUAAGUUUGAAUCAGGUUUCAAGAUUUAUUGAUCUGGCCUUGUCCAUUUUGUGGUGUGUUCUUUGAUUUAAUUUAAUGACCGUAAAGCAUUCAGGCAUGUUGGCAUGAAGGGUGCACUGGAAAACACUAAGUGAUUGAUUGAUUGAUUAUGGAGAGACAUUGUUCUCUCCACAGUUAACAAUGAAGCUAGUUUCCCAUUACACUCAUCUCUGUCUUCCAGGACACCCAUGCCGUAACUAAAAGUUAACCACACUGUCUAAAAUUUCCCAGGUUUGAAUCUGCUGUGGGAGCAGUUACAUUUUUUGCACAUGGAUUAGGUUUAUCUAUUUUAAAGAUAACAGAUAUCCUUGAAACACAAUAUAUAGGGGAAGGCUCAAAGCAUGGACUAUCCCUUCUCCUGCUCUCUGAUUUUUGCACCACCACAUCUGGAUGGCUUGACACAGACAUUCCAACAUUUACUUUAACUGUUGGUCUUGGGGAGGAAUGAAACCAUAUUGUUGCCUGCUCUUAUGACUCAUAAAUGAUGCAUUCAGUUUGUGUCUGUGUAUGUAUGUGUGCAUGUGUGGGAGUAGGUGCAAGUGCACCCUCUGGUAGGGGAACAGCAGUCGCAGAAAAACACUGAGCUCAGAAGAUACUGAACAACUGUAACAGAGGGAUAAAAGGAAGUAACAUGAAAUCAGCUCCUGAAUAAAAUAUAAUGUACUGAAAAGCAAAAGGCAGUCCAGAAGAAAAAAAAAAGAUACAAUUCUUCCAUAUCCAAAAAAUGUAUGUUCAUAGGGUUAGCCAAAACGACAGAGCACUCAUUUAAAGGGAUUAUGCUGGUACCAGCAAUGUAAGCAGCCUAAUCCCACACCUCAACACAACCUAUUUUUAACCUCUAUCCACUUUUUACACAAAGAGCAAUAUAACAAAUCUUGUUGGCAUUUAACUGAUUACUCCCAGACAAAGAAGUGAACACCUUUCUGAAAAGACAGGGGCAAUUCACGCACCAUUUAGAGCGAUGAUCCCAUCUCUCUGGAGAACUGUUUAUUUGUUACACAUGGUUCACAUUUUUGAAAGUUCCUUCACAACUGAACAGGCAGAAAACUAACACAGUUUGGUUUUUCUGAAUGGCAAAUGAAAUUCCAUAAAGUGGGCAGGGAGCUCUCACAGACAUUUUGCUGGAGUGUAUGAGCAUGCAGUUUCUGUUUCCGAGCCCUAGACUGUAUUAAUCCCAUGCUUUCUGCAUCUCUGCUAGAUUGUCUAUAAAUUUAGGAAGGUUAUAUGGAUACUAUGUUUUCACGUUAUAAUGUAUAUAUCCAAUAUAUUUCAGCUAAACCUUUUAAGGAAAUGCAGACAAUGCAGCAUAACCAUCCCCAACUAAAACUUUUUGUCUCAUAAUUCAUCCAGCUCUCCACUACAACUAAUGUGUAAGCAUUUCUCAAGGAGCUGUAUAAAAACGAAAUUGUGCUAAAUGCCUUUUAAAAUUACCCAGUCUAAACUAGAGCCACAAGCAAUAAAACAAAUUGCCCUGAAAAUCCUAGGGGGGAGGGAGGGAAAUGGGUUAAAGCCCUGCCCUGCCAGUACAGCCAUGCAGAAUGCAGCCGAUACACUAGGAGUAACUAUUUCUGGCAAUGCUUCCACUUCCUUUCAAAUUUGCUUCUUGAAUUCCCAACCUAGCACAUUUUAUCACUGACGUCCCAUCAAUGUCUGUCACCAGAAUUUCUCCCAGUCCUCUUCAGAUUUCCCAGAAAUCCAUAAUUUCUGUAAAUCCCACCAUCCCCCUCCUUCCCACAUAGGUUGCCCCAUGGUCUUUCACCAAAACUGUUAUACAAGUAAACAGAUGAAUAUUUGGCUCAGACGAAUAUCAGCCUCUUUGGCUGCCAUAGAUAACCUUUUCAUCUGCUGUCGAUCUGUUCCUUAAUUUGCCUAUUGUCUUCACAUCUCUUUUUCAAUACUUCCUAUCUCCAAUCUCUCUAGCUUUCAUCGUUUUCUUACUUAUUUCACUCAGACCAUUAGAUGUGUUUCUCUGUCCUGUUAUCCCUCCUUUACUUCAUUGUUUCCCACAUAACCUGGGUCUCUACAUUUUUUUCAAAGGGCAUCAAGGAAACAAAGGUAGUAGAAAUGAGAGGCCAGCUGUGAAAAAAAAAACACAGGACUUAAUGAGACUGAAACACUGAAACACUGUAGAUGAAGUCCAAGGUUAAUAAAUGUAAAGCAUUGCACAUAGGAAAAUGUAGCCUAUAAAGCGAUGAUCUCAGAGAUGACCACUGCCACCCAGCAGCACGAUUUUGUGGCUAUAAUAAAUAGUUCAAUGAAAAUGUCACCUUGGUGCUCAGCAACAGCCAAAAAAGCAUGCAAACUGUUACGAGAUGAUAGGGAAGGGACAGAGAGAAAAAUAAAGGAGACCAUUGUGCCACAGGAUAAAUCCCUGCUGCACCUGCACCGUGAAUACUGUGUGAGGACUUGGUCGCUCAUCUCAAACAUGAUAAAGUAGAACUGCGAAGGGUUCAGAGAAGAGUGGUCAGAGUAAUCAGAGACAUGGACCAGCUCUCAAAGGAGGAAUGAGAAACUCCAUUAGGCUGCAAAACAGACAGCUAAGGUUGGACGUAAUGAUAGAAGUGGGUAAAAUCUUGUGGGUCAUGUGGAUUCCAGUCAGGAAUCUGUAUCUUGGCAUUGAAGUAGGCUGGUAAGGAGCAGGUUCAGAACAGAAACAGUGCGACGGUUUAGCAUUCAGUGCAUAGAAGUGUAAGAACUUCUUGCCAGAAGAGAUCAUAGAGGCUAACAGGUACAAGGCUAUAAUAUCUAUAACUCAGAAAUGAUUAGGCACCUCCAUGGAAGGAAAAUCUGUCAAGGGCUAUUAAAUACAAAAUACAAAAAUAUCACAUUUGGCUCAGGAAGUCCUUGAGUUGCAAAUGACUGGAAGCUGGGAGAUCAUCCUGGGGAAGAAUCACUUAUAUCACUGCUUUUAUAUUCUUCCCUAGGUAUUUACUGUUGGUCUCCAUCAGAGACAGGAUAUUGAGCCAGAUGGACCUUUGGUUUGACCUCAUAUAGCCUUUCUGAUGUUCUUAUGUUUAUAUUCUUAACUGACUGUAUGGAUGCUCUUUGCACUUUCACCUUCCACUAAACAAUGCCAAAGAAACCCCCUCACCUUCCUGGCUACAGCAGCAAAGUGAGGCUGAGAAAAACGUCAGCCCCAGUGCAUAUUUGCUGGAAAAUCCUUUCCAGAUAAAUUUGGAUACUUACCCACUCUUUUAGCCUAAUGUCAGACUAAGUGUCAUUGCUGAAAAAACAUUCUCUCUACGGCUCUAGUCACCCGAAACAAUUGGUGCAGACCUCUCCUCUUUCACUGAUUCUGUAUCGCCUUCUAAAAUCUAAUCUUAAAACCUGACUUUCUAGCCUCCCUUCAACCCCUUCAUUUCUGUCUCUCCUGGUUAUUGGUCUUAUGACUGAAUGCUUUAAUAUUUUCACCAUGCAAGGUCUUUAUGUCACUGUUUCAUGUAAUUUAUACUUGUGAGCUGGAGCCUUUCCCAACUCACUUUCAAGCACAGUCCAUACACUGAAUGGAGUCCAAAAUUAUCCCCACCCCCUUAUUGCUUUGGGGGUUUGGCUUUAUUAGCAAGGACAUAAGCAAUAAGAAAAUAAAGUUCAGCUGUUUCUAAGGCUUCUCCCUCAUGACUGCUCAGUCAGUAUCCUAGACGGCUUCUCCCCAGCAAGCCAUUUUUAUCUCUCUUUUAGACAAGGGAACUAAUAAGCCACCUACCUCAGUGAGUCAGCAGAACCCACUUAACCCUUUCCCAGAAGGGUCAAAACUCGCUAUCAGGAUGGUUUGGCUCAGGCUGGUUACAGAACCAUAUUCUGCCCCUCGGUCUUGAAUAAUUUAUUUGUGCGGCAGACCUGGAUUACUGUUUAAAUCAAAAUGCUACCCAAACAAAGGCUGUGCUGUGCAGUGCAAAAUGAAACCAAUUACUACAUCGUAUGAUGCUCAUCUUUUACAGUGUGAGAUGCCCCCUACAGUACCUACAGAGGACAGGCAUUUAUGUCGAGAGCAGCAGCAGCCUUAGGAAGCAGGAGAGAUUUUCAGAGGGAACAGCCUUUGUAAAAGAGCAGAUUCACUGCCAGAAGGUGUUAUGCACUUUCACUUUGAUCCAUCAAAACUGAAGUAACCACUUACUGUUGUAAGGAGACAGAGGACGAAUCCGGUGCUCAUGCUUGAGAUCUUUUUUAAAUUGAAAUUACAGUAAGCUCCAAUUAAGCAUAAGCAUCACAUUGUUUCGCACAGAGCAACUUUAGCAGAGGUGAAGAAUAGCAGAAAAUACCUAUUUUAUCACACUGCAGAAAUUCAAUGUAAAAUCUCCAAAUGUGGAUCAAAGCCUGAAAUGCCAUCACUUUAAAGAAAAACCUCAGAGAACUAUGCAGAAGUAAGGGAUGCACUGUAUUGUACUGUGAACAUUGAAUUUCUGCAGUGUGAUAAAAUAGGUAUUAUAUUGCAGUAGCAGUGCACUAAAAGCCUUGCAGUACCUCUGGAUGCCUGGAACAUUAACAAGACAAUGUUUCUUGUGUACUUCAAAAAUGAAAUCUGUGCUUACUCAUAAAAAAAAAGACACAAGUAAAAUACAUUCUUCUUCUUAUUUUUCUAGCCCUGUUAUUGUUCAAUCACCUGAUUUUGAGACUCCAUUCACCUGACAAUAAGCAGUUAUCAUUUGCCCUGGUCCUGGCUGUCAGAAAGAGUCAUCUUUAUCUUCAAAGAAGCAGGGAUAAUGUCUAAUCAGUGAGUUAGAGUCAAGAGCACAUAUCUGCUGUUUUGCAGGGCACACCAAAUCUGUUACAGGUAGAUUGGCUAGAGGCCAGAGCCAGAAUAAAUCUCAGAAUAGAAGGACCAAGCAACUAGAAGAAGAGAGCUGAUUUUGACUCCAGUAAGCUGACAUAGGUACUUACUCCAAAGUUUGGGACCCACUAUUCUUUAAACAGUGAGAGCCAGAAUGAUUUGCUGUAUUUCACAGUGUUUACACAAUAACCAUAUCUUGCAAAAAAAACUAAGCUUUGGCACAAAAAGAUUGUUUUUUAAAUACAGUUUUACAGCAAAUUAAAGUUAAAUAAAAGCUUGUGAAUACAAAGAGAAUAAAUGAGGCUUUCCUAGCCUGCAAACAACUGACAUUAUUGUUCCCUGAUGUGUGAUAAACUCCAAUUUAUCAACGUGCUCUUUGCACUGAAGCUUAAUGAAGCCAGUUUAAACACCUCCUGCCUGACUGUUGAUGUGUUACCAUAGGCAUUUUCUUAA